rnacentral:rRNA from 1 species
UUAAAUUGAAGAGUUUGAUCAUGGCUCAGAUUGAACGCUGGCGGCAGGCCUAACACAUGCAAGUCGAACGGUAACAGGAAGCAGCUUGCUGYUUUGCUGACGAGUGGCGGACGGGUGAGUAAUGUCUGGGAAACUGCCUGAUGGAGGGGGAUAACUACUGGAAACGGUAGCUAAUACCGCAUAACGUCGCAAGACCAAAGAGGGGGACCUUAGGGCCUCUUGCCAUCGGCUGGGCCC